AUGUUAUAAGAAAGGAAAGAAGGUUAGCAUACCCUUUCAAAAGGAUGGAGGAGGUUCUGGUGGCCUUUACAACACAUAUAUGGUUAAGGCAGGGUCACUUACUUUGUGGCAUCCAAUCAACAUUUUAA